rnacentral:rRNA from 1 species
UACGGAGGGGACUAGCGUUGUCCGGAUUUAUUGGGCGUAAAGCGCGCGCAGGUGGUCCGUUAAGUCCUGUGUGAAAUGCUCCCGGCUCACCCGGGAGGGGGCGCGGGAUACUGGGGGACUGGAGGCAGGCAGAGGCCGGUGGAAUUCCCGGGUGUAGUGGGUGAAAUGCGUAGAGAUCGGGAGGAACACCAGUGGCGAAAAGCGGCCGGGCUGGGC